UGGGGAAUAUUGCACAAUGGGCGGAAGCCUGAUGCAGCGACGUCGCGUGGGGGAUGAAGGCCUUCGGGUUGUAAACUCCUUUCGACAGGGACGAAGCUUUUGUGACGGUACCUGUAUAAGAAGCACCGGCUAACUACGUGCCAGCAGCCGCGGUAAUACGUAGGGUGCGAGCGUUGUCCGGAAUUACUGGGCGUAAAGAGCUCGUAGGUGGUUUGUCGCGUCGUCUGUGAAAUUCCGGGGCUUAACUCCGGGCGUGCAGGCGAUACGGGCUGACUUGAGUGCUGUAGGGGAGACUGGAAUUCCUGGUGUAGCGGUGAAAUGCACAGAUAUCAGGAGGAACACAGAUGACGAAAGAAGGUCUCUGGGCAGUAACUGACGCUGAGGAGCGAAAGCAUGGGUAGCGAACAGG
rnacentral:rRNA from 1 species